GAUGAACGCUCGCUGUGUGCCUAAUACAUGCAUGUUGAACGGGAUGUAGCAAUACAUUCAGUAGCGAAUGGGUGAGUAACACGUACCUAACCUACCUUUAAGACUGGGAUAACUAUUGGAAACAAUAGCUAAUACCGGAUAUAGUUAUUUAUCGCAUGAUGAGUAAUAGAAAGGAGCUUCACAGCUUCACUUAAAAAUGGGGGUGCGGAACAUUAGUUAGUUGGUAGGGUAAUGGCCUACCAAGACGAUGAUGUUUAGCCGGGCCGAGAGGCUGUACGGCCACACUGGGACUGAGAUACGGCCCAGACUCCUACGGGAGGCAGCAGUAAGGAAUUUUCCACAAUGAGCGAAAGCUUGAUGGAGCGACACAGCGUGCAGGAUGAAGUUCUUCGGAAUGUAAACUGCUGUUAUAAGGGAAGAAAAAGUAGAAUAGGAAAUGAUUUUAUCUUGACGGUACCUUAUUAGAAAGCGACGGCAAACUAUGUGCCAGCAGCUGCGGUAAUACAUAGGUCGCAAGCGUUAUCCGGAAUUAUUGGGCGUAAAGCGUCCGUAGGUUUUUUGCUAAGUCUGGAGUUAAAUGCUGAAGCUCAACUUCAGUCCGCUUUGGAUACUGGCAAAAUAGAAUUAUAAAGAGGUUAGCGGAAUUCCUAGUGAAGCGGUGGAAUGCGUAGAUAUUAGGAAGAACACCAAUAGGCGAAGGCAGCUAACUGGUUAUAUAUUGACACUAAGGGACGAAAGCGUGGGGAGCAAACAGG
rnacentral:rRNA from 1 species